UGUCCCUGCCCGUGGCAGGGGGUUGGAACUGGAGGAGCUUUAAGGUCCCUUCCAACCCAAACCAGUCUGGGAUUUGGACAGGGCAGAAAGGCUGGAACAAGGUUGGCUUGUCUGUGCAGGUGGAUAAGGCUUCGUCAGGUGAAGCUGGGCAGUAAAAUAUGCUCCCUGCAAAGGGGAUUACAAAUCUACCUGUCCCAGGCUAAGCCUGUGCUUAGAGCUGUGUUCAGGUCUCUGUCCUCCCUCUGAAUCUCAUCCUUGCAGAUGAGACCAGUCUUGAUCAGUCUGUAGCUUUCAAACCUCGGCCCAGAGAUUUUACGUGAAUUGCUCUUGCUGCCAAGUUUUGUGUCCUGAGCUCGUUUCCAGCUGUUGCAAAUGUGUAAAAUAUGGCUGAGACUGGCUCAAGACCUACCUGAAAGACACCUAAAAGAGGGAAGGCACGUACCUGGUCUAGCUGUCUUCAGGAACAUUCUCUGUUGAGUCCAGCAUGCAGAAUGGUGAGUUGUAGUUUUAGUUUUUCUGCCCUUCUCAAAGAAGAACCUGCCCUCCCCAAAUUAUAGUGGAAAAAGGGCUUAAAGGUAACAUCUCUCUGGUAUCUCUUAGAGUAAUUCCUUAUAGUCAGAAGUCCCAAGGCUAUCAGAAUUGGCUCAAACCAGGGUGUGUGUUAGCAUGGUUUGUAGUGUCUGCUUUGUGGUGAGACUAGAGGAACCAGCUUGCUCAGCAGGAGGCCAGCAGUGUGUGCUGGGGGUGAUGGGUCACUUGGUGCUGGCUUGGAUGGGACAGUGACUUUCCUGCUGUGCUGUAAGGUGUGUCCUGGGAUGGCCAGACAUGAGGAACCCCUGGACACAGCAAACAGGGUCACAUUAUGGCUCUUCUGGGCAGGGGAGAGCCUGCCCACAGGGAUCACCUCCUCACUCGCAGCUGUUGGUCAUCCUGUGCAGACACGGCAAAGGCUGAAUCGACUUUGCAUGCACGUGCGGCCUGGCCUGGGCACUUGUGCUGCAGGACAAGAAUGCUGAAGGGAGGUGCUGCAGGAGAGGUCUCUUCCACCUCUGGUAAGGGGAGACUCGAACACACCUUGUCUGUGCUGCUGGUGCAGGCCAGGGCUGAUGGGCAGGGGGCUGCAGGGCUCCUAAAGCUCCUUCUUUUUCCCACAAGCAAGGUGCCACCAUCCUGUGAAGCUGGCACAUGGCUGGUGCAGGACCCCAUGAGGAGGGCAGCCCUGGUGCCUACUACGACAACCACUUGAGAAUUAAUUUCUGGGAUGCUUCCUGCCUCUGUUCCCAACACCCAACCCACAGCUACCACCACAGCAGCCAUUUCCAUCAGUCAGAUCUAGCUCUGAUGCGUGUUGCUGGUAGAAUCUAGACAGAGAUGGAGCAGGACGCUGUGACUGUGCCCACCACUGCUGGAAGCUCCAAGGGAAGAGGCAGCUGUCAUCCUCCUCCUGUGCUCCCUCUGACCUUCCCUACUCCUGGGGUUAUGGUUUACAGGAGCCCCGAGCAGGCUCACUGCCAUCCACACCCGGAGCCUUGUCCAGUCAGCAACCACGGGAGAGCACAGCCAGAGCAAGGGGUGCCACAAGAAAAAGAGCCAGGAGAUAUUUUAGGUGACAGAGCAGAAGAGUCCAGUGGAGUCUGAGGAGGAGGAAGGGCUCACAUUGUUACAGGAGUCACCCUCAGGACCCAUCUGGGCAGAGACUGGCUCUGCAGUUGCCCUGCUCACGUCCUGGUGCCUGACCCUGCAGGCUGCAGUGGCAGGAUUGAUUUGGUGCUGGAGAACCCUUCCAAGGUGGUGUGGAGCUGAGGGAUCCACUGGUUUCCAGUACAGAAGGGCUUCGAGCUCAAGGUUACAGAUGGGAGCAGAGGCCUGGAGCGGCUAAUCCUGAACUGCAUUUGAAAGAUUUCAUGGGAAAUUACACCCCACAUGACUUGAGAACCUGCUGGGGAGAGAAGUGACUUUCAGGGAUCACAUAGGAAGCUACUGGGCAGAAGAAGGAACUGAAAUAGUCUCCAAGAGGCAGCUGCAAGAGAACAGAUGUGACUACGAGCAGACAACAGCACUCAUUUGGGUAUCAAGGACACAGAUGGAAAUGAACUCCAGAGUUAACUCCUGCCUUACAGCCCUGCGGGGGCACGCUCAUGUGGACUCCUCAAGUUAGGGAAGAUGAGGGUCUCUGAAGCUCUCACAACUCUGUACCUGAGUCUGUAUCUGAAUGUAUCAUUCUGCCAGAUAUUGAAGGGCUCAGAUUUAAGGUGGUAGGAUUUCAACACCAUGGAAGAUGUUGGUAACAUCAUAUUCUUACAUCCACUGAAAUAAUGGAGGAAAGAGGAAGUCUUGAUUUUUCUUGGUAUGAUUGAAUGAGAAAGGGGAUAAAACAUGACAAAAAAGCAGGUAUGAUCUAAUUAAAUCUUUAAACAGAAAAUCCUGUAGAACUUGAUUGAUUGAUGCUACUUGAUUACAAACAUACUUCUUUUCCUCCACAAGAACUGCCUCAUGGUACCCCUCUUUUCACCAGCCUCUAAGCUACCAGGUAUGAGGAAUUGUCCUGUUUUGCUCCACCGCAACAGUCUGGGCAAGCCCUGCCUGGCAUGUGGUAGUGGUCUGGCAGCAACUCAGUAAAUGACCAAGCCAGAGCACUUUGGAUGGUCCUUCCUGAAGCAUUAGAAGUGUCUCUGUUUGGGGACAAAAUGUCCCCCCAGCAUUCAGGCCAAGGACCCAACCACAAGUAACUUCCUCUAACACACCUACAGUCACAGCUUGCUGAAAACCUGCCUUGCAGAUUUCUCCACAUGAAGAGGUCAUCUACUCUUGAUAAAAGUCAAUACCUUCAUAAGAUGCUCUGUGACCGUUCCAGGCUUCAGGAAACAGACUAGCAAGGCUGAAUUUUGCAUGAUUUCUUCUAUUUCCUUGUGUCAGGAAGGGUUUCUGUCUUGGAAAGCUGCCUUCUGUUCAGUGGCUCAGUCACCUGCAUGGAAUCUGAUCAGAUUUCCUAUCUGUGCCAGGGUAGCCUUAGCAAAGAAACUGUCUUGGCAAGAGUUUAAAAUACCUCCUGCCUGAUGAAGGUCCCUCCCUGCCAAGAACUGUCCUUUGCAAUGACUAUGCAAAUUGACAUAUUGAAUCCACUGUAAGCAUAUGAUUUAAGUGCCCCUUGUACCUUGUGGGCAAGUGCUUUCAAUCCUGUUUUUAGGGACAGCAUCUGGCUUCCUGAAGCUUGCAGCAGAGUCGGUAGCCAAGACAGCAGUAGGACUCCAAGCAGUUCUUGUUCUGGUGCUGCUUUUGGACAAGGACACUUUGCCACCUUAUAACUUCAGGCACAUGGAGAAAUUCCAUUCUUGCUGCAGAACAGCACUUAAAUAGCUAGGAAUAGUCUAGGAAUAUUGUUUUCCUUUCUUGGUGGUGCAGAAGAUUAACCUCACAAGGUCAGUGUAUGUGGAGAAUUGAUGGGCUGGGAGAACCAUGAAGUUCUGCCUGCAGCCUCUUCCACAGCUUGCAGUUCCAAGAGUGAUGCCAGCACCAGCUGGCUCAGUCCUCCUGCCUGUACUUAAGCGAAGCUCCUGCUGCCAACAAUUAACUUUGAACAGCAUAUUUCAAAUGCCAUGAGCAUUUUGAGUAACGACCACAAUGGAGCUCCAAAUGGCUGUGAACAACCAAACUGACCUUUGGCAUCUUCCUGCCUAACCUGCAGGAAAUCUGCAAAUUGACUAAAGCAGCAGAACAAAUCAGUGGUUUUUUCCUAUAUGAGACCAUAUUUUCCAUCUGCAUGAAACCAGUAGCUCCCAACUGAAGAACCAAACCAGCAUUUAAAAUUCAUCCAGUCCCAAGCUGUUGCAUUCCAGUAUUUGCUCUGUUUAUGGAGUUACAACCAUGGCUAGUGAACAGGGAGAAAAAACCCCAGGCUUUUUCCACCAAUAAUAGAACUACUUACACUUUCACCACUUCUUCCCUUUAUAUUCUCAAUUCUUUAAUUCCAUAUAACCAUAUAAUUCCAUCUGCAGAUGCAUGGUCUUUAUCAUGCCACCCUCAGAUAUUCAAAACACAGCCCUUGCCUCCUUCCAAUCAUGACAGAUCCUCUGCAUCCUAAUCUAGGCUUUUUGCUGUAAAUUCACAUGCUUUCAAAGGCCAAGGAUAUCUUUUAUCUGGGGUAAGAAAGCAUUGUUUCUAUCACUGUUGGCAAUGUUCAAUUAUUGCUGUUCUUUUGUAAAGUAAAAACUAAAAGCAAUCACAUUAUUCCCCUAAAUAGCUAAAUAUCAGCAGUGAGUGAAGUGUUCCUCAAAUAUCCGUUUAUGGGUGUUGUUAAAAACCACUUGCUGGCUGUGAAAUCAAAUCCAAACUCUGUUUUGAUGCAGCACUGAGAUGUAUCUCUAUAGUAAGUGUCCAGCCUCUUAAAAAAACCCCUUGCAAUACAUCUUAAAAUAUUUCACAGAAGAAAUGCUCUUUUUAGUGAUGCCAACUCCCAGAAUGGCACAAGC